rnacentral:rRNA from 1 species
AUUGAACGCUGGCGGCAUGCUUUACACAUGCAAGUCGAACGGCAGCACGGACUUCGGUCCGGUGGCGAGUGGCGAACGGGUGAGUAAUACAUCGGAACGUGCCCAGUUGUGGGGGAUAACUACUCGAAAGAGUAGCUAAUACCGCAUGAGAACUGAGGUUGAAAGCAGGGGAUCGCAAGACCUUGCGCAACUGGAGCGGCUGAUGGCAGAUUAGGUAGUUGGUGGGAUAAAAGCUUACCAAGCCGACGAUCUGUAGCUGGUCUGAGAGGACGACCAGCCACACUGGGACUGAGACACGGCCCAGACUCCUACGGGAGGCAGCAGUGGGGAAUUUUGGACAAUGGGCGAAAGCCUGAUCCAGCAAUGCCGCGUGCAGGAUGAAGGCCUUCGGGUUGUAAACUGCUUUUGUACGGAACGAAAAGCUUCGGGUUAAUACCCUGGAGUCAUGACGGUACCGUAAGAAUAAGCACCGGCUAACUACGUGCCAGCCGCCGCUGUAACAC